AAUAUUUUUUCAAACCUCGUAGGUAUAUUUUUAUUUAGCUGAUAUUAUACUCAAGUAACUAUUGGUUUCGUACAGGCAGAGCCAUCUAUCGGCAGGAUUGUAUUGAUAACCCAGUUUGCUGUUAGCUAGAAUGACAAAAGAUGGCGUGUCGAUCGUCGUUAAUUUAUUUCCUUCCAAAAUCCCUUUUGAAUUUUCAUUUAUUAAAAAUAAAACUCAAUUUAUUAUUGUAUUGUUAGUUUUCGUUCCUUUUUGGAAAUAUUUUAUUACCCUCUUUAAGACAGAAGUUAAAGUUGUUGUCUAUAGGCGAAUGCAUCUCGUCACGUAUCUGUGGGCCGAGCUGUCAGCCGACACUUUGCAUAUUGGAAAGGAUGUAGACGGGUGGUUUUCAAAUUCUUCAGGGCCAAUGCGCCACAUUCUAAUUUUUAAAUCGCGAAUUAAUCGCAUAAUCGUAAGUAUUUUCUUCCAUAUUCGAAUGCAGUUUGUUGUGUUACGUUCAGUGCUAAUUCUUGUGUCCAUUAUUUUCAGAUGAUUUUAUUUUUAUAAAAUUACUGAGGACCCCUUCCAUUGACAUGAUUGCACGGAACCACAAGCCGGCUUCUUUUCUGGAAUGGGUCCUCAGAUUUGGAGGUUAACGUUCGAAGACAGAGCAGAGCUGAUGCUUCCCGAGCCUGGACCGGUGGACAGGAGGCUGUGACGAUCGGUAUGGAAGAGCUCCCAUUCCGUGGCUGCAGCGGCCACCUCUCCUCAACUCGGUUAGACGUCCCCAAGGUCAGAGCGUUCCUCGU